ACCUGCCUGCAAAUGGAGGCUACUGGAUUUUAUGUUACAGACUGCUUGCUAAAGGAGACUGACCCGAGACGCGUGGCAUCAUUAAAUUGAGAACAAUGCUGGACAUGCACCACAACCACACAAGUGAAAGGAGCAUGAAGAGCUGUACUGCAGUGUUUCUUUACUAGUGAGUUUGUAACUCCUUGGCUGGACUUCCCUUGGUCCUUUGGAGAUAGUGCACUUUCUCCUCUAGGUUGCCCGUCUGUGCUGAGGAGGACUGGGGAGCUGCUGUGCAGGUAUCACCUAGCUGCAGAAAGAUUCUUCAGAAAGCAAACCACCGUGACGUGGACCUUGUCUGAUAUUUAUCUUUCCAGCUGGCGUUCCUUGGUUACCCCACACUCUUCUGAAAAUUGCCAGUCAGCUUUGAAAGGAAGCUGAAGUUGCCA